UGCUGCUCCACUCCUCUGCUGUGCGUGCGAGGGACGUCGGGGGCGGCGCCGCAGCAGUUGCCCUUGGUAACGGGGGAGGCAGGAGGAGGAGGAGGAGGAGAAGGAGGAGGAGGAGGAGGGACUCGGCGGGAGGAUGGGCUUGCUCUCAAUUUUGCGCAAGUUGAAAAGUGCACCAGACCAGGAGGUGAGAAUACUUCUCCUGGGCUUGGAUAAUGCUGGCAAGACCACUCUUCUGAAGCAGCUAGCAUCUGAAGAUAUCAGCCACAUCACACCAACACAGGGUUUCAACAUCAAAAGUGUACAAUCACAAGGUUUUAAACUGAAUGUAUGGGACAUUGGUGGACAGAGGAAAAUCAGACCAUACUGGAGGAAUUAUUUUGAAAAUACUGAUAUUCUUGUAAGUACU